rnacentral:rRNA from 1 species
GACGAACGCUGGCGGCGUGCUUAACACAUGCAAGUCGAACGGAAAGGCCCUGCUUUUGUGGGGUGCUCGAGUGGCGAACGGGUGAGUAACACGUGAGUAACCUGCCCUUGACUUUGGGAUAACUUCAGGAAACUGGGGCUAAUACCGGAUAGGAUCUCCUGCUGCAUGGUGGGGGUUGGAAAGUUUCGGCGGUUGGGGAUGGACUCGCGGCUUAUCAGCUUGUUGGUGGGGUAGUGGCUUACCAAGGCUUUGACGGGUAGCCGGCCUGAGAGGGUGACCGGACACACUGGGACUGAGAUACGGCCCAGACUCCUACGGGAGGCAGCAGUGGGGAAUAUUGCACAAUGGGCGGAAGCCUGAUGCAGCAACGCCGCGUGCGGGAUGACGGCCUUCGGGUUGUAAACCGCUUUCGCCUGUGACGAAGCGUGAGUGACGGUAAUGGGUAAAGAAGCACCGGCUAACUACGUG